rnacentral:rRNA from 1 species
AUUGAACGUUGGCGGCAGGCUUAACACAUGCAAGUCGAACGAGAAAGUCCCUUCGGGGAUGAGUACAGUGGCGGACGGGUGAGUAACGCGUAGGAAUCUGCCUGAUAGUGGGGGAUAACUCGGGGAAACUCGAGCUAAUACCGCAUACGCUCUACGGAGCAAAGAGGGCCUCUAUUUAUAAGCUCUCGCUAUCAGAGGAGCCUGCGUUGGAUUAGCUAGUUGGUAGGGUAAAGGCCUACCAAGGCGACGAUCCAUAGCUGGUCUGAGAGGACGAUCAGCCACACUGGAACUGAGACACGGUCCAGACUCCUACGGGAGGCAGCAGUGGGGAAUCUUGGGCAAUGGGCGCAAGCCUGACCCAGCCAUGCCGCGUGUGCGAAGAAGGCCUUCGGGUUGUAAAGCAUUUUCAGUGGUGAAGAAAAGCCAGGGGCUAAUACCCCCAGGUCUUGACGUUAGCCACAGAAGAAGCACCGGCUAACUCCGUGCCAGCAGCCGCGGUAAUACGGAGGGUGCGAACGUUAAUCGGAAUUACUGGGCGUAAAGCGCGCGUAGGCGGUUCGGUAAGUGGGAUGUGAAAGCCCCGGGCUUAACCUGGGAACUG